AAGAUAAUAGUUCAGUGGUAGAGCAUGUGCUUAGCAUGCAUGAAGUCCUGGGUUCAAUCCUCAGUACCUUC
rnacentral:tRNA from 1 species